UAUUCCUUAGAACCCCAUGUUUACAAAUUAUAAAUAUCCCAUACACCUGUUGAUCUGUGGAUUUUCUUACGACUCAACAAAAUAGCCUUUUCAACAUCUCAAUCUAGCAGUAAACUUGCAGUUUUUCUGUGAAUAGCCUUUUCAUGCUUUAAUUUGCUGUUGCAUUUUUUCAUUUUUCCUUAAAACCAGAGGAUUUUAACCUUGAAAAUGCUGGAUAAUAGAUUCCUGGAUGAAGCUCCAUCAUACGAGGACCAAUUAUCAGAAGAUGAGAUCGAGGAUGUGGUUCAUGCUGUUAAGCUCUCUCUUCAAGAAUCGGAGAGAAAACAAAUAUACAUGGGUGAUGAGGAGUCAUCCCAGAUUGAUGAGGCAGAAGAGCUUGCAAAAGCAUUGGAACAAAGCAUAAUAUCCUCUAAAGAGUCGAGCACCAGUACUGGAUGCAUAGGACUGAAAUGGUGGAAGGUUUUCAAGGAGUAUAAGCCAUUUGGACAUACAUCAAAGGGCACUUCUUCGCCGAGCAAAAGUAGGCAGCGGCGAAAUAUUACUGUUUGUGAUGUUUGUGAGGAACAGAUUCGCUCGGCGUGGUUAAGGUGUUACUGGGGCCAGACAUACUGUGAAAAGCAUAUAUCUGAUGGAACUCCUACAUGCUGUAGCUGCUACAGACUCAAGUUAGGAGAUAUGAAAUAUAUCACUCUGAGUGAUGGUCGGAAACUUUGCCCUGACUGUCGUCAUACGGCCGUGAUGGAUCCUGAAGAAUGUAAGCCCCUUCUUAAUGAAGUGCAUAGAUUUUUCAAAGGAUUAAACAUGGAAAUCAGAUGCUACAUUCCAGUUCUGUUAGUUGAUGAAGAAGAGAUGAUCAGAAUCUUUAACAAGAGAGCACUUGGCCUGACUACUUUUGAGCGUUACCGAUUUGAGGCCAGAACUUAUGUGACAAGAUCAAUACAAAAGGGUGACGAUGUUGAAGUGGUAAAAGACGUAUAUCACCUGCUCCCAGGACACAGAGUGACAUCAAUCCAGCUUCUAUAUGGCUAUCCCAAGUUGGCCUUGGGAGCAACCUUGGCUCAUGAAAUGAUGCACGCUUGGAUGCAGAUUCAAGGUGAUCCUUGGCUAGUUGAUCUUGUCUAAUAUAAUCAGCUGUAGCAUUUGUUUUAUCAUUUAUGUUGAAAAAGACUAAAAAGAAAUCAAAGCAAACUUAAUUAUGGAAUCACAUUCCUCAAAACCUAGUUUUAGUUCGACAAAAGAGAAGAAACAUAAGAAAUUUUCCUUCUCACCAACUUUACCUCUCAAUUCUCAAACCAAAGGAAAGAAAGAAAACAUUGCUUCCUAAGUCUCUUUUUGUUGAGAAUAUAGUUAAAUAUUAAAAGUGUGUUCUCUCUAACAGUUUAAGCUUUUAGAUGAGAUGGUCAUACACUUCAACAUGGUAACAAAGCAGGCCAAAAGUCCUGUGAUCAAAUCUCACCGCCACCCAUUAUCAAAAUAGGCUACAGAGGAGGAAUACCACUACAUAUUGAAGAAGGUAUUUGUGAAGUCAUGUCUCACAAGUGGAUAGAAUGGCAUGCUUUUGUUGGUGAUGAGUUUAUGAAUGGUACAAGUGAAGAAGCUCAAUUCUUGAGAC